rnacentral:rRNA from 1 species
GCAUGCAUACACCAUAGAAUUAAUGCAUCGGAUCCCAUUAGAACUCCACAGUUAAGGGCGGUUGGGAAAAAGUAGUAUUGAGAUGGGUGACUGCCCGAGAAGUCCUAGUGUUUUACAUGCC